rnacentral:rRNA from 1 species
AGGGAUUGCCUCAGUAACGGCGAGUGAAGCGGCAUAGCUCAAAUUUGAAAGCUGGCGUCUUCGACGUCCGCGUUGUAAUUUGUAGAGGAUGUUUCGGCGAGGGCUCCUGCCUAAGUUCCCUGGAAUGGGACGUCACAGAGGGUGAGAAUCCCGUAUGUGGCGGGCGGCCUUAGCCAUGUGAAACUCCUUCGACGAGUCGAGUUGUUUGGGAAUGCAGCUCUAAAUGGGAGGUAAAUUUCUUCUAAAGCUAAAUACCGGCCAGAGACCGAUAGCGCACAAGUAGAGUGAUCGAAAGAUGAAAAGCACUUUGGAAAGAGAGUUAAAAAGUACGUGAAAUUGUUGAAAGGGAAGCGCUUGCAACCAGACUCGUUCGCAGUUGCUCAGCCCGCCUCUUGGUGGGUGUACUCUUCUGCGGUCGGGCCAGCAUCAGUUCGGGCGGUCGGAUAAAGGUGUCGGGAAUGUAGCACCCUUCGGGGUGUGUUAUAGCCCGGCGCGGAAUGCGGCCAGCCUGGACUGAGGAUCUCGCUUCGGCAAGGAUGCUGGCGUAAUGGUUGUAAGCGGCCCGUCUUGAAACACGGACCAAGGAGUCUAACAUCUAUGCGAGUGUUUGGGUGUCAAACCCAUGCGCGUAAUGAAAGUGAACGGAGGUGGGAACCCGCAAGGGUGCACCAUCGACCGAUCCUGAUGUCUUCGGAUGGAUUUGAGUAAGAGCAUAGCUGUUGGGACCCGAAAGAUGGUGAACUAUGCCUGAAUAGGGUGAAGCCAGAGGAAACUCUGGUGGAGGCUCGCAGCGGUUCUGACGUGCAAAUCGAUCGUCAAAUUUGG